rnacentral:pre_miRNA from 1 species
AGUGGAAUUGCUGGGUCAUAUGGUAAGUGUAUGUUUAACUUUAUAGGAAACUGCCAUAAUGUUUUGCAAAGUGACUGUACCAUUUUGCAUCUCACCAGCAAU